CUCACCUGAAGAAACUCACACACAUAGCCAGAGUCAAGUAAUAUGGCUUCGCGUUUUGAAUGAAUAUCAAAAGUGUUAAAUGUAUGUUACUAUAUAUAGAGUCGACCUCAACUGGCUUGGAAUUGAAGCUAACUAAAAGCUGAACACAAAGUCAGGUAGAUGUUUACCUCCACUCUGAAAUUGGGAGUAUUGGGUUGAGUUGGUGCCUGCAUUGAUGAAAAGACGCAUCAAAACUCAUACAUAAACACAUCUAACAUGGUGGUCACGAUAAGAGGUCGUGGAGGACACAUAUUAGGAUAGCAGUUACCUUCUUUUCAGGUUCUCCUAGUGUCGGAAGGCCGUAAUGAACAAUGUAUUCAGCAUCAACAACUCCAAUAUUUCGAGUUCUAUCUCCCUAUCACGAAAACAAACCAAAAGAGCAUCAACAACUCAUGACUGCAACUCAAACGAGCUAUCGAUAUAACAAACGAAAAAUAAAUGCCCUGUCUCAUAUCCAGAACUACCUGUGCACAGUAACCAAGCUGAAUGUCUAAACCCCAAGCAUGGAUCAAGUCAUUCUGCGAAACAACGAUAGAAGGAAUAAGAGAAAAGGAUAUUACUGCUACAACAAUUCAUAGUUAUUUCCCAUGAAGAUAUCCGCGACAAGGCAUAAAACAAAAUUAAGUUACCCUGUACAAGGAGGAGCCAUACUGGUAUAGUCACAUCGAGUGCCAGUAUCGCCAGCCUUAUAAGUCCUUCUGCAAUGUAAUGUGUUAAUCAAGUUUCAACUUCAAAAUCUAUGGUCAGACGGGAGCUUUAAGACGGAAAAUUGUUGAUAAGAACCUGUGCACUCGUGAUCUCCUCCCGCGAGCGGUAAUCUGAUGAUGCACCUCGGAUUUUCCAAUAUCUAGAGCUGGUUGCGAAAUCUCAAGACCUUCAUCUUUUACAAUAGAUAUGUAUCUACAAGGAUGAAACAAGUCGGGUUCAGUAAAUGCAAUAAAUUAAACUCUGCAUUUGAAACUUAUGAGGAACGCGGAGAAGAUGGAUAUGAAUAUAACCUCUGGAUAACCCCAUAAUGGCCGUCUUUCAAAGUUAGACGUCUUGGCGAUGAUACCUUCAGAUAUAUAUGUUCAAACGGGGAACGUCUAGGGGAUAUUCCAUAAACUACAGAAGAGGUCAAGUGAAUUCGACAUGUACCUGAGUAUCAUUUUCUGUGAAGUCGCUCCUUAACAAGAGAAUCAAAC